AAAGUCGUAACAAGGUCUCCGUUGGUGAACCAGCGGAGGGAUCAUUACCGAGUUUACAACUCCCAAACCCAUGUGAACCUUACCAUCGUUGCUUCGGCGGAACGCCCCGGGUGCCUUGUGUACCCCGGAAUCAGGCGCCUGCCGGGGGACCCAAACUCUUGUUUUAUUAGUGGUAUCUUCUGAGUUUUUAUAAAUAAAUUAAAACUUUCAACAACGGAUCUCUUGGUUCUG
rnacentral:misc_RNA from 1 species